AUCAGCCCGCGCCCUGUAAAACGGGACGGCCCGCCAGAGGACCCAAACUCUAAUGUUUCUUAUUGUAACUUCUGAGUAAAACAAACAAAUAAAUCAAAACUUUCAACAACGGAUCUCUUGGUUCUGGCAUCGAUGAAGAACGCAGCAAAAUGCGAUAAGUAAUGUGAAUUGCAGAAUUCAGUGAAUCAUCGAAUCUUUGAACGCACAUUGCGCCCGCUGGUAUUCCGGCGGGCAUGCCUGUUCGAGCGUCAUUUCAACCCUCAAGCCCCCGGGUUUGGUGUUGGGGAUCGGCUCUGCCUUACGGCGGUGCCGCCCCCGAAAUACAUUGGCGGUCUCGCUGCAGCCUCCAUUGCGUAGUAGCUAACACCUCGCAACUGGAACGCGGCGCGGCCAUGCCGUAAAACCCCAACUUCUGAAUGUUGACCUCGGAUCAGGUAGGAAUACCCGCUGAACUUAAGCAU
rnacentral:rRNA from 1 species